rnacentral:rRNA from 1 species
UACGUAGGCAGCAAGCGUUGUUCGGAGUUACUGGGCGUAAAGGGUGUGUAGGCGGUUUUUUAAGUUUGGUGUGAAAUCUCCCGGCUCAACCGGGAGGGUGCGCCGAAUACUGAAUGACUUGGAGUGCGGGAGAGGAAAGUGGAAUUCCUGGUGUAGCGGUGAAAUGCGUAGAUAUUGGGAAGAACACCGGUGGCGAAGGCGGCUAUCUGGCCCGUAAUUGACGCUGAGACGCGAAAGCGUGGGGAGCAAACAGG